CUCUGUGACUCCUACGGGAGGCAGCAGUGGGGAAUAUUGCACAAUGGGGGAAACCCUGAUGCAGCCAUGCCGCGUGUGUGAAGAAGACCUUCGGGUUGUAAAGCACUUUCAGUAGGGAGGAAGGUAGUGUAGUUAAUACCUGCAUUAUUUGACGUUACCUACAGAAGAAGCACCGGCUAACUCCGUGCCAGCAGCCGCGGUAAUACGGAGGGUGCGAGCGUUAAUCGGAAUUACUGGGCGUAAAGCGCAUGCAGGCGGCCUGUUAAGUCAGAUGUGAAAGCCCCGGGGCUUAACCUCGGAAUUGCAUUUGAAACUGGCAGGCUGAGUCUUGUAGAGGGGGUAGAAUUUCAGGUGUAGCGGUGAAAUGCGUAGAGAUCUGAAGGAAUACCAGUGGCGAAGGCGGCCCCCUGGACAAAGACUGACGCUCAGAUGCGAAAGCGUGGGGAGCAAACAGGAUUAGAUACCCUGGUAG
rnacentral:rRNA from 1 species